UGUGCCCUUUGAGAGAUGCGUCGCAUGAAUUAUGAAGGAGAUUGUAUGACGGCUAUUGUGGAGAACAUGGCAACAACACAAAGGGAGGGAAGCGUCGAAACAGAGACCCACCACCGUCGGCGCAUGCGGCUUUCGUUGCCAUGUAUAACCUUACCGGUUUCUUGGCCAACACAUCUACACCAGGUCGGCGGCACAAACUCUCGUCCGUUCAUUCAAACCUUCCUCUUCCGUUGUCUGCGUUUUCUCAGGAAUUGCCCAGCGUAACCUUACACCAUGACCAGCGCUGCUGCUACUAAACUGAGGGAGUUCAAACAUCACAGCUAUGUUGAAGAGUCAGGCAAAAAUGUUUACCGCAAAGGAAGGGACGUGAAUGGUCUGUACCCUUCCCAGUUCGCCAGAGUCCAUCCAGAAAUCGUGGUCCCAGACGACAAUAUAUCUAACGGCACGGCUCU